UUUCACAUGAGAUUUUCUCUCGCCAGUUGAACCUGUUGCCGUAGCUACGUACAAUCAUACCUGUAUAGUAGAUGAUGUAGUUGUUGCUGUUAUAAGGGGAGGUUUUCUCGCAGCUCUUUUUCCUCCCCUCUGCUGCGCCCUAGAGCUAUGACAUUGGAGAUCGUCUCCAAUGAAACCCGAAAUAAACGUUUCUUGUUUGGGUUUAAA